rnacentral:rRNA from 1 species
GUGAAAGGCUACAGCUUAACUGUAGAAUUGCCAUUGAUACUGCUAUUCUUGAGUGCAGUCGAAGCGACCGGAAUGUGUAGUGUAGCGGUGAAAUGCAUAGAUAUUACACAGAACACCGAUAGCGUAAGCAGCUCGCUAGGCUGUUACUGACGCUGAGGCACGAAAGCGUGGGUAUCGAACAGGAUUAGAUACCCUGGUAGUCCACGCUGUAAACGAUGAUCACUAGUUGUUGGCGAUAUAUUGUCAGCGACUGAGCGAAAGCGUUAAGUGAUCCACCUGGGAAGUACGUCCGCAAGGAUGAAACUCAAAGGAAUUGACGGGGGCUCGCACAACCGGUGGAACACGUGGUUCAAUUCGAUGCUACGCGAGGAACCUUACCUGGGCUUAAAUGCAGAACGACUCUUCGAGAAAUCGAAGUUCCCUUCGGGGCGUUCUACAAGGUGCUGCACGGCUGUCGUCAGCUCGUGCCAUGAGGUGUCGGGUUAAGUCCCUUAACGAGCGCAACCCCUAUUGUUAGUUGCCAGCGGGUAAUGCCGGGGACUCUAGCAAAACUGCCAGUGUAAGCUGGAGGAAGGUGGGGAUGACGUCAAGUCAGCAUGGCCCUUAUGUCCAGGGCUACACACGUGUUACAAUGGCCGGUACAAAGGGCAGCUACCACGCGAGUGGAUGCUAAUCUCUAAAGCCGGUCUUAGUUCGGAUCGGAGUCUGCAAUUCGACUUCGUGAAGGUGGAAUCGGUAGUAAUCGCGCAUCAGCAACGGCGCGGUGAAUACGUUCCCGAGCCUGUACACACUGCCCGUCAAGCCAUGGGAGUCGGGGGUACCUGAAGUUCGUAACCGCAAGG